UAUGGAAUGUGUGCGCAGCCGCGGUAAUACGUAGGGGGCGAGCGUUAUCCGGAUUCAUUGGGCGUAAAGCGCGCGUAGGCGGCCCGGCAGGCCGGGGGUCGAAGCGGGGGGCUCAACCCCCCGAAGCCCCCGGAACCUCCGCGGCUUGGGUCCGGUAGGGGAGGGUGGAACACCCGGUGUAGCGGUGGAAUGCGCAGAUAUCGGGAGGAACACCAGUGGCGAAGGCGGUCUACUGGGCACCAACUGACGCUGAGGCUCGAAAGCAUGGGUAGCAAACAGG
rnacentral:rRNA from 1 species